AAAUUGAAGAGUUUGAUCAUGGCUCAGAUUGAACGCUGGCGGCAGGCCUAACACAUGCAAGUCGAGCGGUAGCACAGAGAGCUUGCUCUCGGGUGACGAGCGGCGGACGGGUGAGUAAUGUCUGGGAAACUGCCUGAUGGAGGGGGAUAACUACUGGAAACGGUAGCUAAUACCGCAUAACGUCGCAAGACCAAAGUGGGGGACCUUCGGGCCUCAUGCCAUCAGAUGUGCCCAGAUGGGAUUAGCUGGUAGGUGGGGUAACGGCUCACCUAGGCGACGAUCCCUAGCUGGUCUGAGAGGAUGACCAGCCACACUGGAACUGAGACACGGUCCAGACUCCUACGGGAGGCAGCAGUGGGGAAUAUUGCACAAUGGGCGCAAGCCUGAUGCAGCCAUGCCGCGUGUGUGAAGAAGGCCUUCGGGUUGUAAAGCACUUUCAGCGGGGAGGAAGGCAUUAAGGUUAAUAACCUUACUGAUUGACGUUACCCGCAGAAGAAGCACCGGCUAACUCCGUGCCAGCAGCCGCGGUAAUACGGAGGGUGCAAGCGUUAAUCGGAAUUACUGGGCGUAAAGCGCACGCAGGCGGUCUGUCAAGUCGGAUGUGAAAUCCCCGGGCUCAACCUGGGAACUGCAUUCGAAACUGGCAGGCUAGAGUCUUGUAGAGGGGGGUAGAAUUCCAGGUGUAGCGGUGAAAUGCGUAGAGAUCUGGAGGAAUACCGGUGGCGAAGGCGGCCCCCUGGACAAAGACUGACGCUCAGGUGCGAAAGCGUGGGGAGCAAACAGGAUUAGAUACCCUGGUAGUCCACGCUGUAAACGAUGUCGAUUUGGAGGUUGUGCCCUUGAGGCGUGGCUUCCGGAGCUAACGCGUUAAAUCGACCGCCUGGGGAGUACGGCCGCAAGGUUAAAACUCAAAUGAAUUGACGGGGGCCCGCACAAGCGGUGGAGCAUGUGGUUUAAUUCGAUGCAACGCGAAGAACCUUACCUGGUCUUGACAUCCACAGAACUUUCCAGAGAUGGAUUGGUGCCUUCGGGAACUGUGAGACAGGUGCUGCAUGGCUGUCGUCAGCUCGUGUUGUGAAAUGUUGGGUUAAGUCCCGCAACGAGCGCAACCCUUAUCCUUUGUUGCCAGCGGUUAGGCCGGGAACUCAAAGGAGACUGCCAGUGAUAAACUGGAGGAAGGUGGGGAUGACGUCAAGUCAUCAUGGCCCUUACGACCAGGGCUACACACGUGCUACAAUGGCAUAUACAAAGAGAAGCGACCUCGCGAGAGCAAGCGGACCUCAUAAAGUAUGUCGUAGUCCGGAUUGGAGUCUGCAACUCGACUCCAUGAAGUCGGAAUCGCUAGUAAUCGUAGAUCAGAAUGCUACGGUGAAUACGUUCCCGGGCCUUGUACACACCGCCCGUCACACCAUGGGAGUGGGUUGCAAAAGAAGUAGGUAGCUUAACCUUCGGGAGGGCGCUUACCACUUUGUGAUUCAUGACUGGGGUGAAGUCGUAACAAGGUAACCGUAGGGGAACCUGCGGUUGGAUCACCUCCUUACCUUAAAGAA
rnacentral:rRNA from 1 species